UUGUCUCAAAGAUUAAGCCAUGCAUGUCUCAGUGCAAGCCGUAAAUAAGGUGAAACCGCGAAAGGCUCAUUAAAUCAGCUAUGGUUCCUUAGAUGGUACGUACGGUUACUUGGAUAACUGUGGCAAUUCUAGAGCUAAUACAUGCAAACCGAGUUCCGACCGCUUCACAGGCGGAAGGAAUGCUUUUAUUAGAUCAAAACCAACGGGGGACUUCGAUCCUCUCGUCUCCCCGACUCGUUCAGCGAAAGGGGAGAAAGAGGACGGAGUCCGCGAAAACGAAGUCUGGCGAUUCUGAAUAACUUUGAGCUGAUCGCACGGUCCCGCACCGGCGACGCAUCUUUCAAAUGUCUGACUUAUCAACUUUCGAUGGUAGGCUCUGCGCCUACCAUGGUCGUAACGGGUAACGGGGAAUCAGGGUUCGAUUCCGGAGAGGGAGCCUGAGAAACGGCUACCACAUCCAAGGAAGGCAGCAGGCGCGCAAAUUACCCACUCCCGGCACGGGGAGGUAGUGACGAAAAAUAACGAUGCAGAACUCUUUCCGAGGCUCUGCAAUCGGAAUGAGUACACUCUAAAUCAUUUAACGAGUAUCCAUUGGAGGGCAAGUCUGGUGCCAGCAGCCGCGGU
rnacentral:rRNA from 1 species